ensembl:misc_RNA 7SK 7SK RNA
AUGUUAGGGCAAUCUGGCUGCAACAUCUGUCACCCCAUUGAUUGUCAGGGUCAAUUCAGCUGAUGUGACUGGCUCAGCUGGGCAGGUGCUCCCUUCCUCCUUUUCCAGU